rnacentral:misc_RNA from 1 species
AUUUUUUAUGAUAUUAUUCAAAUCAGAAAAAAAUGUUUUCAAUUUUCAUUUUUACAAAUGAGUUGCGUAUAUGUGUACACAUCGAUAGGAAUUGUGUAAUGAGUUGGCAACAUACUUGCAAGGCGGUGUGGAUCUCAGAGGUUGUGUGCCCACUGCUACGUACAGUAUUUGAUUAUUGGGCUAGGUGUGUGAUGGUUAAAGUUUUACACACAUCUUGAUUAUGUUGUGCCAACUUUGUAUUAAUUUUGAAAAUACAAAUGUAGAUAUAGUAAAAGUUUAAGUUUAUUUUUUUUUUAGCAUAACAAUUAUUAUGCAAUUAUUAAUAUAUUUCAGAAUACCUUAGAUACUUAAUUGGUGUGCCAAUUCUUAUUAUUUAUUUUAUUUGUUACUGUAACCGUAAUAUGAAUGUGAAAUAUUAUUCAUACAAGAUGAAGGAUUUUUUUACUGCCAUAUAUACAAACAAUUUCAUGGUUGUAUGAAACAAUUGUCAAAGUGUUUCGAAAAUAAACCAAUUUUUUAUUUUUUUUAAAAUGUAGAAUUCGAGAAUUUAUGUCAAAAGACUUGUAUUUAUUUUCAUAAAUGAAUCUUAGAAAGUCAAACCUUCUUUCAGUUCAAGGCAUUCAUAUACUCUAAUCAAAUUAUCUAUCAAAAAGACAAACCUACUAGACAUUUUAAUCAAUGUAAAUGAUUAAUUAAUAUGUUGCUCACUAUUUUAGGUCAAAAAUUCAUACUUCCAAAGCUUCAAGCUCCCAAGCAAGGAAAAGACAGAAUUUUAUCUUUUGGUAUACAGUUUGUUUUAAUUUAAAAAAAAAUCAUAACCAUAGAAUUAAUGUACAUUGUAUGUUAAUCUAUAUGUAGAUGAUCAACUCUCUGUAGAAUGGAGAGUAUAAUAUGUUGUGUACGAUUACUGUCCAUUAUCCUGAUCUCUCCCGGCCAAGCUUUUGAUUGAUCCAAACAGACAAAAUUCCCCCUCCUUCUUAUAUCCAUCAACCUUUCGUUCCCCGGACAGACAGAGAUACUGAUAAAUGUAUGAAAAGAGUUAAAAGAGUUUAAAUGUUGAUGUACAUGUAAUACUUGUUAUCCCUUUUCACGGACACUUUGCGAAUCCCUUUUGAAAUGUUUUCUUUUUUCCAUUUGUUUUAAGGAUUAUAUGUUAAAUUGUUAGUCAGUCCUUCUAAAUCAUGUUUGAAAUAAAUAUUGAAAA